rnacentral:rRNA from 1 species
GACGAACCGUGCGAACGUUGUUCGGAAUCACUGGGUUUAAAGGGCGCGUAGGCGGGCUGUCAAGUCGGUGGUGAAAUCUUUCAGCUUAACUGGAAAAUGGCCUUCGAUACUGGCGGCCUGGAGGAAGGUAGGGGCAUGCGGAACUUCCGGUGGAGCGGUGAAAUGCGUAGAUAUCGGAAGGAACACCAGUGGCGAAGGCGGCCUUCUGGACCAGUACUGACGCUCAUGCACGAAAGCGUGGGGAUCAAACAGG